AGGAAUAUUGGGCAAUGCCCGCAAGGGUGACCCAGCAACGCCGCGUGGAGGAUGAAUGUCGUAAGAUUGUAAACUCCUGUUAGAGGGGAAGAAUAGUACCGGUUGGACCGGUAUAUGACUGUACCCUCAGAGAAAGCCCCGGCUAACUACGUGCCAGCAGCCGCGGUAAUACGUAGGGGGCAAGCGUUGUCCGGAUUUACUGGGUGUAAAGGGUGCGCAGGCGGAUGGGUAAGUCAGGGGUGAAAGUCUGCAGCUUAACUGUAGAAUUGCCUUUGAUACUGCUCAUCUUGAGUGUGGGAGAGGUUGAUGGAAUUCCAGGUGUAGCAGUGAAAUGCGUAGAUAUCUGGAAGAACACCAGUGGCGAAGGCGGUCAACUGGCCCAUAACUGACGCUCAUGCACGAAAGCGUGGGGAGCAAACA
rnacentral:rRNA from 1 species